UAUUUUGAGAAGUCGUCUAUCAAUAUCUGUUUCAUAUAAUUUUUGCCAUAAUUUGUCCCUACAGAUUGAAUCAAAAGCGGAUGUGAGAUCUACGAAAGCCACAAAAAGUUUGCUCUUAUGUACCUUUGUAUACUUAUCUAUCAUUGUCUGUAGUACCAAACAAUGGCCUGUUGUACUAUGGCCCUUUCUAAACCCUGCCUGUUCCGGAUUAAGCAGGUUAGAGUGGUCAGCCCAGUCAACCAGUUUAUUUAGCAGGUAGCGAGUGUAAAGUUUAUACACAAUGUCCAGGAGACUUAUGGGGCGAUAGUUUGAGGGGUCUUGGGGGUCUCCCUUCUUAUAGAUGGGGGCUACCAGGCUCAGUUUCCAGUUUUCUGGGAUUUUGCAUAUAUCAUUUAUUACCGUAAAAGUUGGGCCAAAAUAGCAGCCCACCACUGGGCAUUUAGUUUAAAUACCUCAGGAGGAAUCAUAUCCUCACCGGGAGCUUUGCCAUUCUUGAGUGUUUUAAUUAGCUGUAAACAUUCUGAUUCGGUAACAGGAUCCCAGCCCAUUAAUAGAUCGUUUUUAAGAGGAGGAAACUGGCUCGGUUUAGCAAUGUUUGGAGCUGUAUAUAGCCGGGAAAAGUGUUGGUACCAUAAGUUAGAUGAGAUACUGUUGGUUACAAUUUUCCCUUUGGGUGAAACUCCCUGGGCAAUUAUUUCCCAGAACUUUUUGUCAUCCCGCAAUUUGAUCGCUUUGUCAAGUGCCUCCCAUUGUUCCUUUCUGUAGAGGGAUUUCUUAAAUUUUAGAGUAUUUUUAUAAUGAGAACGCCACCUGUGCAGGUUUUCCAAUGAGGACAAGGUCCCUUCCUGUUUUACCUUAUUUUGUAGUUUCCUGAGCAAAGAUCUUAGAUUCCUACAGUCUUUGUCGAACCAGGCCCUCGAGUUGUUUUGUUUUUUGGGAGGGUUGGAAUUCGUGAGUAGUGGGAAGAGCGACUCUGAGACCUGCUGAAAUGUUGAAAAGGGGUCAGAAAUGGAUGAGAUGCACUGGUCUCUCAAGGCCAGUAAGUCUGAUGAAUGCAGGUGUAAUUUGAUUUUAGAUUCCAGGUCGCUGUUCCAUUUACGCCUACGAAGGGCCAGAGUUGGAGGUGGGUCUGCACAGUGAUUGCGGUAUUGCGGAUCCUCCACACCACGGGGAAUUAGUGAAAUUGAUAUAGGAAGAUGAUCACUCUCAAUUCUAUUGAAAGUCCUGAAGCCCUGUGACCUCUCCAAGAGUUUUGGGGAGACCAGGAUAUAAUCAAUAACGCUCGCACCUCUGGGUCCAAGAAAAGAAAAGAAACCCCCUGACCUGUCCAUAUGGGUACCAUGCAAAUUAUACAAAUUAUGUUUGAAGGCAGUCUCCAUUAAUGUAAUGCCUGCCUUAUUCAAGACCUUAUCGUCUGAGGACCAGGGAAUAAACCAAUCUGCCUCUGGCAGGAACUGAGAUUUAGAGCAGUACGUAUUAAUGUCAUUUCCUAUCCUGGCGUUGAAAUCACCUGCCAGCAGGAUAUCCAUGCCAGGGAAUUCUAGUUCAGCCUUCUCCAAACAUAGCUCUAAAUCUUCCCAGAAUUGUGACGACUGGGGAGGGGUGCCUAUGGGAGGGAUAUAUAUAUUAAAGCAAAGGAAAUCUCCUCCUUCACUGCUAGAAAUAAGUGAGAUUUGUAAAUUGUUACUCUUCACCCACUGCUGUUGCCGGGCCUUGCAUUUUAGCUUGGUAGAAACAAAAGUGACUAAACCACCACUAGGUCGGCCUCGGGAUUUUGGUUUUAUCGCAGGGGUAGCAAAGGCUUCAGUAUCCCUGUAAAGAGGGGACAUGGAGAUCUAGACACCAUGUCUCCUGUAGACAUAAAAUCUGAAAUUUUGUAAGGAAAUCCAGAAGGUCGACGUCACCCUGCUUAGAUAGCCAUCCCGCCACAUUCCAGGAUAGAAUGUGGAAAUAGGGUGAUGGUGGAAAUAGUGGCAGUCAAUCUCUUUUCCGAUGGUUUGAGGCUCCUGAGCUGGGCUCCUCCUCUAUCUGCCCUGCUUGGUGGUUCCGGGUUUGAGAUCGCUGGUCCCUAGAUAGGUAUGAUAACUUUAACUGAGGGGCCAAUAGGUUGAUUUGGCCCAGAGGAUCUUCGAUGACACCGUUACAAAUAUCAUGUUGUUCAGCUGAUGUAUCAUGAUGUUCAGCUGGUUUUCGCAGAGCAAGGAUUUUGCCGACCCGUAUAGGCUGUAUAGGUAGCAGGUCGACAACUGCAUCUUGCGUCGGUACUGCUAGCGGGUCAAAAUUUGACAAAAGCUGUGGAUCUUGAUUGCGUAUUGGGCUUAGAAUAAUGGAAGCCUCCAAUUCCGGCAUCGAGGCAUAUGAGGACGAGAGCAUUUCAGACUGGUCUUGCUUGGGUAGUCCAAUGCCAGGCUCAUUGCACGUAGAGACCAGGGUACCAAGCGGGGGAUGUAGGAAAUCAAUUAAGUCAUUUGCGGGCAGGCUUGCCACUCCCUGUGGGGUAAUAGAUCCCGGCUCCAUUCCCCCGUCUAUUUGUUCUUUAUGGCGCACAGGCCCAGCAUCAACACCGACAGCACCUAUCCUGGUGCAUAGCGGUGUACGGGUCAGAUUGGUGAAUACCCUUGUAAAAUAGAUGUACCAUUUUCUUGUGCGGUUUCUUAAUUUUAGAAUCUUUGCAACGAAAUGGGCAGAUCUAAAGUUAAUAACCAUACGUCUCAUAUAAGGUCCAGAAGGCAGCCAUGAGAUGUCCACGAUAUCUACGGGCGUAAUGUCUGCCCCAGCAGUUGGGUCAGGGAAUUUGUGACCGAAUGUUUAUCCGCCCAUUUGUUAUAAUUCAAGGGGUGGUUUCCCACCAGUACUGCAAGUUUGCUGUUCUGGAGUUGCAGACUUGAGUUUUGUACUUGGUUGGGCAGGCAUCUCACUUGUUUUUGUGCAAGGUUGGCCUGCGCACUUGGGCAGGGGUGAGCGGAGUUUGCAAUGUUGUUAAGCUGAAGGAGUGAGGGGGGGCAACUGAACAAGCCAAAGGCUUUUUCAAGCUUCUUUUCGAUCCCAUCCAGCCUUUUAUAUAAGUUGGUGAUAGUAUGUGUUAUCAACUCAGUCUGGCAGAUUAGCAGUUCCAGUGCCUCUCGGUCCUUGUUUAACUGGGCUGGUGACUGGGAUAAUUCAGGUGAAGUUUUUGCAGGGACUCAAGAGUCUGUUCCAUCUGUUCCUUCAUACACAGGCUCGAGGCUAGUUGUGGGCCAUCCACAAUGCCGGCAGGCUCCUCAUGAGUAGUACUGGGAGCAAGGACCUCAUGGCUGUUUGCUGUGGGGAAGUUUCUACAGAUCUCAUUUAGGUCAUUGUCAGGCAAAAAUCCCUGAUAUUUGUCUGUUUUUUGGCAGUGCUCGUAGCUUCAUUGGAAUGCUGCCUGCGGCGUUUCUUCCCUCUCAUGUCGGCAAGAAAAUAGGGAGAAAAUUUCUCAAAAUAGUAGGGUCAGGGCAGGUUGUGCUGUUAAUGAGCCCUACUCCCUUUAACAGUCUUUAUCUGCCGUGUUUUCUUGCAGAUUUAUGGGAGAAGUAGAAAUAAUCUAAACCAUAAAACUUCUAAAAUAAACGCCUUAAGGCAUCUUAGAGCCCUUAGAACCCGUCAAAGCAGAUAAUAAAAAUAUAGCUUUACCGAGCAUAAGACAAGGCUGCCGCUCACGUCGCCAUCU
rnacentral:lncRNA from 1 species